GCGGGAGUAACUCAGUUGGUAGAGUACCUGCUUCCCAAGCAGGCUGUCGCGAGUUCGAGUCUCGUCUCCCGCUCCA
rnacentral:tRNA from 5 species